UCAGGAAAAUAGAAACCCCUUCAAUCCCUAAAUGACCUCUCCUUCAAGCUACUCAGCUUCUUCCUUCGAUUGCGACUGCUCGUCACUUUUGGGCACCUUCUUCCAUCACUCAAGAAAGUCAGCACCGUCAAAGAUCUCUUGAUUCCUCGCGGCCGGGCCGGCUUGGAAGCAAGCUACAUGUCGCAUAUCUCACCCCCUUUCUUAUUAUUAGUAAGAUAGGUACCCCUUGCUCUUUGCUCCAGGUAACCCUAUCUUCUUACUGCAAGAUACUACCCUCUUUUGUUUCUCUUUGAAUUAAACCGUAAUUUGAUUCUUGAUUGAACAUUAUUUUAUUUCUCUAUGGUUUUUAUUGUGUUUCUCUUUGUAAAUUUGAGGUGUAUGCUUAUCCUUUUUUCCCUACUCAACGAUGAAUGUUCCAUGUCAUUAGAACAACCUUGCGAAAUCAUAUUCAACAAACCCUUUUCUACCUAUCUUGUCUCUCAAAGUGUGAAUGUCUGCAACCUGAUUUGGUUAAACUCAUUGUUGUCUUUAUUUUGCAGUUGAAAAAGAAUUUGGAGUUUGUUGUUUGUUGUUUUUCUCUUUGGAUUUUGCUGUCAAAAUAUUAGAUCACAAAUUCUAGUUGUUGCUGCUAGCUACUUAAUAGCAUCGUUGGGAUAAUUAGCAGUCAAGACUUUGAGGUUUAUUGUCAGAAAAUCCCUUGGGAAGUCAUGGUAUGCCAAUGCAGUUGAGGCUGCAUGCUCUCACUUGUCACAAGUUAGCUUUAUUGUUGAAAGAAGGGCUUCGAUGUUAGGUCACAAUAAACAUAAACUGACCGGGGGAACUCUUGCUAAGACUAGGGCAGCAACCACCAACUGGGGACACCAGCCAAGUAAACAAGAAGCUGAGAAAAUGAUGAGAGAAUCCACCUUGGAUAGACUUUCUUCUUUAAUUAGAAAUCAUGAGAAGAAACUAGCUCUGGCAAAAGCAAGGUUCAAGAAGGCUGAGAAGGAUUUAGCGAAAAUAUAGGGUGAUUUGGAACCAGCAGACCUUCCAUCUUAUUUGGAGACAUUAACUAAUGAAGAGAGAUUUUUGUUUAGGAAGAUUGGUCUGAGUAUGAAGCCAUAUUUACUUCUAGGGAGGCGAGAUGUUUAUGCUGGCACCAUAGAAAACAUGCAUCUACACUGGAAAUAUCGAGAGGUCGUAAAGAUAAUUGUGAAAGGGAAAAUAUCUACACAUGCUUCUACUUCCAUCCGCAGGUUACAAGACCCAAAAGCUUGUUGACACGAAGACAAGCAUUGGCUCGGUCUAUUGAGCUUCAAAGACGAGAGCAUUUUGGACUAUGAUGUGCUUAACUUGGAAGUGCCAACACUUCCUAUUGUUGGAUCAUUGAUAAAAUCUGGAGUUAGAGCUCUAAUUUACAGGUCAACCGCGUCGACACUUACUAACAACUGGAUGGAGUAAUUUUGUGACUUCCAAAAGAUUAGUUGUUGGAGAUACUUUUGUGUUUCUGAGGUAUUCAUUUGAUGUUUUCUUUUUCUUGGUUUCCUUGAUAUGGUUCAAAAAAUCAUCAUAUACUGUAAAAUCAUACAAUGUUUCUGUUUGACUAUGCAAACAUUAAAACUAAACAAGAUUUUAUGUUUAGAGGGAAACAAUGGAGAAUUACGCGUUGUAGUGAGGCAUCUUGCUUCACCUCAGAGCUGCAUGCAUUAACUGUGAUUUCUGGUCAGAGCAUGCACCUUGGAGUCCUUGCAACUGCAUCUCAUGUUGUUGCAACCCAAAAUUUUGUUGUUGACUA